GUAAGAGGGAUGCUGGGAAAUGCCGUGCAGAGGCGGCUCAACUGGUGACUGUGACAGUGACAAAUUAUUAUUUUUUUUUUAUUAAAUUUUUGUAGAUAUGGUUUCAGUUGGUUUUGCAUUUUAUUGUAAUUUAGUAUACAUUUCAGUGUGAACAUAUUAAUUAAUCAUUAUUUAUGCGUGAAAAUGUGUACAAACGAGUUCUAUUUCGGGAGGCUGAAGUAAGCACAUGUGACCAUUUAUGCAGCCUGCCUCGCUAGAGAGUUUGCACACAGACUGAUAGGGGAGAGGGAACUGCAGAGAGUGCUUUUGCACAAUUGUACUCUGGCAAUUACUCACUGAAUCCCAGCUCCACAGAGACACUCACUAAACACUAUAACAAAUGGAGCAUCUAAGCCAAGAUCUGCCAGCAGAUGGAAAGAGGAAGAGAGCACUUGCUUUGUUUUUUAUUUAUGUCACUCCAGCAGUAGCAGACCAACCGUCUCUCAGAGCAGCAGGUGCUUGUGGGUGAUAAGAACUACCUGUCAACUGGUUCACUCUCACCUGUCACACUCAGACUGCUGUGGAGUGCUAGAUACAGUCAGACCGCUGCAGUGUGUGUGUGGGUGUGCACAUCGAAUGAGUAAUACAUGUAUUAAAUAAAAUGAAAGCAAAUAAUAAAAUCAUUGCUUUAAUUAAUACCUCAAUUCAGGUUCAUUAUAUUUAUUUUCAUUAGUUAUUUUCAUUAAAUUUUAGUUUCAUUAAAUAAUUAAAGAGAAAUAAAAUCUAACAUUUUUAGUUUCACAGAG
ensembl:lncRNA